UGUUCGGGUUGUCAUGCCAAUGGCACUGCCCGGUAGCUAAAUGCGGAAGAGAUAAGUGCUGAAAGCAUCUAAGCACGAAACUUGCCCCGAGAUGAGUUCUCCCUGAGACUUAAAGUCUCCUGAAGGAACGUUGAAGACGACGACGUUGAUAGGCCGGGUGUGUAAGCGCAGCGAUGCGUUGAGCUAACCGGUACUAAUGAACCGUGAGGCUUAACCUU
rnacentral:rRNA from 2 species